rnacentral:rRNA from 1 species
GUGGGGAAUAUUGGACAACGGGGGGAACCCUGAUCCAGCCAUGCCGCGUGUGUGAAGAAGGCCUUUUGGUUGUAGAGCACUUUAAGCGAGGAGGAGGCUACCGAGAUUAAUACUCUUGGAUAGUGGACGUUACUCGCAGAAUAAGCACCGGCUAACUCUGUGCCAGCAGCCGCGGUAAUACAGAGGGUGCAAGCGUUAAUCGGAUUUACUGGGCGUAAAGCGCGCGUAGGUGGCCAAUUAAGUCAAAUGUGAAAUCCCCGAGCUUAACUUGGGAAUUGCAUUCGAUACUGGUUGGCUAGAGUAUGGGAGAGGAUGGUAGAAUUCCAGGUGUAGCGGUGAAAUGCGUAGAGAUCUGGAGGAAUACCGAUGGCGAAGGCAGCCAUCUGGCCUAAUACUGACACUGAGGUGCGAAAGCAUGGGGAGCAAACAGGAUUAGAAACCCGAGUAGUCC